CCAGACUCCUACGGGAGGCAGCAGUGAGGAAUAUUGGUCAAUGGGCGGAAGCCUGAACCAGCCAAGUCGCGUGAGGGAAUAAGGCCCUACGGGUCGUAAACCUCUUUUGCCGGGGAGCAAGGGCGGGGACGUGUCCCGGCCCGGAGAGUACCCGGAGAAAAAGCAUCGGCUAACUCCGUGCCAGCAGCCGCGGUAAUACGGAGGAUGCGAGCGUUAUCCGGAUUUAUCGGGUUUAAAGGGUGCGUAGGCGGAUCGUUAAGUCAGGGGUAAAAUGGGGGGCCUCACCCCCUCCCCGCCAUUGAAACUGGCGAUCUUGAGUGGAAGAGAAGUAUGCGGAAUGCGUGGUGUAGCGGUGAAAUGCAUAGAUAUCACGCAGAACCCCGAUUGCGAAGGCAGCAUGCCGGCUUCCGACUGACGCUGAAGCACGAAAGCGUGGGGAUCGAACAGGAUUAGAUACCCGGGUAC
rnacentral:rRNA from 1 species